rnacentral:snRNA from 1 species
GUGCUCAUUUUGGCAGCAAAUGUACUAAAAUUGGAACUAUAGAGGGAAGAUUAGCAUGGCCCCUGAACAAGGAUGACAUGAAAAUCUGUGAAGCGUUCCUUAUUUUU